rnacentral:rRNA from 1 species
UACGUAGGUGACAAGCGUUGCUCGGAAUCACUGGGCGUAAAGGGUGCGUAGGCGGGGCUUUAAGUCAGGGGUGAAAUCCUGGAGCUCAACUCCAGAACUGCCUUUGAUACUGAGGAUCUUGAGUUCGGGAGAGGUGAGUGGAACUGCGAGUGUAGAGGUGAAAUUCGUAGAUAUUCGCAAGAACACCAGUGGCGAAGGCGGCUCACUGGCCCGAUACUGACGCUGAGGCACGAAAGCGUGGGGAGCAAACAGG